ACACCUGAAUCUUUUCCAUUUUUUGCUGCUUUGUGGGUGUGGGGACAGACAUGCAACAUUAUGAGCAGUGGAAUUCUAGGAGGGUUGUUUUCCUUUUGUCUUGGGGCCUGACUCCAUAGGCCCCAACUCUGCCUCUCUU
rnacentral:snoRNA from 1 species